GAUGAACGCUGGCGGCGUGCCUAAUACAUGCCAGUAGAACGCUGAAGGAGGAGCUUGCUCUUCUGGAUGAGUUGCGAACGGGUGAGUAACGCGUAGGUAACCUGCCUGGUAGCGGGGGAUAACUAUUGGAAACGAUAGCUAAUACCGCAUGACAACAGUUAUUGCAUGAUAACUGUUUAAAAGGGGCAACUGCUCCACUACCAGAUGGACCUGCGUUGUAUUAGCUAGUUGGUGAGGUAACGGCUCACCAAGGCGACGAUACAUAGCCGACCUGAGAGGGUGAUCGGCCACACUGGGACUGAGACACGGCCCAGACUCCUACGGGAGGCAGCAGUAGGGAAUCUUCGGCAAUGGACGGAAGUCUGACCGAGCAACGCCGCGUGAGUGAAGAAGGGUUUCGGAUCGUAAAGCUCUGUUGUAAGAGAAGAACGAGUGUGAGAGUGGAAAGUUCACACUGUGACGGUAUCUUACCAGAAAGGGACGGCUAACUACGUG
rnacentral:rRNA from 1 species